rnacentral:misc_RNA from 1 species
GAUGAAGAACGUAGCGAAAUGCGAUAAGUAGUGUGAAUUGCAGAAUUCAGUGAAUCAUCGAAUCUUUGAACGCACAUUGCGCCCCUUGGUAUUCCAUGGGGCAUGCCUGUUCGAGCGUCAUUUGUACCCUCAAGCUCUGCUUGGUGUUGGGUGUUUGUCCCGCGUUGCGUGUGGACUCGCCUUAAAGCGAUUGGCAGCCGGCAUAUUGGCCUUGGAGCGCAGCACAUUUUGCGCUUCUCGUCAUGAUUGUUGGCGUCCAUUAAGCCUAUACAUUUGCUCUUGACCUCGGAUCAGGUAGGGAUACCCGCUGAACUUAAGCAUAUCAAUAAGCGGAGGA